rnacentral:misc_RNA from 1 species
GAACUUUCUCAGGCUUAUUAGAACAUAGAUCGCAGAGUAGUCGCUCUGACGAUCGCUUUGCAGGCGUGCCGCCUUCGUUUCUCUUUCUUCAUUGUUGAUUGACAUGACCCGCUCACGGGCCGUAUCGCAGCUAACGCUGCUGGCCCUGCGCGAGCGCGCCACACGAGUGGCGACGGACUAGCGUCCUGUAUUGGCGCCCUCUUGAUGGGGAUGCGAUAGUAUAGGGGCUUGUAGCUCAGUUGGUUAGAGCACACGCUUGAUAAGCGUGGGGUCGGAGGUUCAAGUCCUCCCAGGCCCACCAAAUUAUCGCUCACGUGCCGUAUCGCAGCUAUCGCUGCUGGCACUUCGCGUGAGCGCAGCAUGGGCUGCGACGGCCGCUUGGCCUUGCAAAGCUUUGCUUUGAUAAAUGUGAUAAGGGGCUUUAGCUCANCUGGGAGAGCACCUGCUUUGCAAGCAGGGGGUCAUCGGUUCGAUCCCGAUAAGCUCCACCAUCACAAUUUUGGUGUCGAGUAGGACGGAUUGUAGUCAUUCAACAAAAGAAAGAAACAAGUUUGCAGAUUGCUUUGAGCAAUUUGCCUGUUCUGUAUGAAAUCGUGAAGAGAAGAUGUAAUCGGAUUAGCCUUUGGCUAAUGUCGCAAGAGCUUGCUCAAGCCUUGCAUUAUGAUUGGACGCCUAACCGCUCCACCGAUUGUAUCUCGAGAAGCUGGUCUUUCUGCUGAUAACGUCAGACUUUAAUAGUUUGAUGGAUAUUGGCAAUGAGAGUGAUCAAGUGUCUUAAGGGCAUUUGGUGGAUGCCUUGCAUGCACAGGCGAUGAAAGGACGUGAUACGCUGCGAUAA